rnacentral:rRNA from 1 species
UGGCGAACGGGUGAGUAACGCGUGAGUAACCUGCCCUGGAGUGGGGGACAACAGUUGGAAACGACUGCUAAUACCGCAUAAGCCCACGGAUCCGCAUGGAUCUGCGGGAAAAGGAUUUAUUCGCUUCAGGAUGGACUCGCGUCCAAUUAGCUAGUUGGUGAGGUAACGGCCCACCAAGGCGACGAGUGGUAGCCGGACUGAGAGGUUGAACGGCCACAUUGGGACUGAGACACGGCCCAGACUCCUACGGGAGGCAGCAUG